rnacentral:rRNA from 1 species
GACGAACGCUGGUGGCGUGCUUAACACAUGCAAGUCGAACGGAAAGGCCCUGCUUUUGUGGGGUGCUCGAGUGGCGAACGGGUGAGUAACACGUGAGUAACCUGCCCUUGACUUUGGGAUAACUUCAGGAAACUGGGGCUAAUACCGGAUAGGAGCUCCUGCUGCAUGGUGGGGGUUGGAAAGUUUCGGCGGUUGGGGAUGGACUCGCGGCUUAUCAGCUUGUUGGUGGGGUAGUGGCUUACCAAGGCUUUGACGGGUAGCCGGCCUGAGAGGGUGACCGGCCACAUUGGGACUGAGAUACGGCCCAGACUCCUACGGGAGGCAGCAGUGGGGAAUAUUGCACAAUGGGCGGAAGCCUGAUGCAGCAACGCCGCGUGCGGGAUGACGGCCUUCGGGUUGUAAACCGCUUUCGCCUGUGACGAAGCGUGAGUGACGGUAAUGGGUAAAGAAGCACCGGCUAACUACGUG